GGGAGCUAAUGUUACAGGGAGCAUUUUGCAGGUACCUGACUAUCCAGCAUUGUUUCGGGUUCCGCAAACCGUUACCAGAUGAACCAAUGUGUUUGUAUAAAUUGAGUAGUUGUGUUUGUGGGUCGCGAGCGUGCGUGUGUGUGACGACAGCACCACGACGAUGACCA
rnacentral:lncRNA from 1 species